GACGAACGCUGGCGGCGUGCUUAACACAUGCAAGUCGAACGGUAAGGCCCUUCGGGGUACACGAGUGGCGAACGGGUGAGUAACACGUGGGUGAUCUGCCCUGCACUUCGGGAUAAGCCUGGGAAACUGGGUCUAAUACCGGAUAGGACUCCGGACUGCAUGGUCUGGGGUGGAAAGCUUUUGCGGUGUGGGAUGGGCCCGCGGCCUAUCAGCUUGUUGGUGGGGUGAUGGCCUACCAAGGCGACGACGGGUAGCCGGCCGGAGAGGGUGACCGGCCACACUGGGACUGAGAUACGGCCCAGACUCCUACGGGAGGCAGCAGUAGGGAAUAUUGCACAAUGGGCGCAAGCCUGAUGCAGCGACGCCGCGUGAGGGAUGACGGCCUUCGGGUUGUAAACCUCUUUCAGCAUCGACGAAGCGAAAGUGACGGUAGGUGCAGAAGAAGGACCGGCCAACUACGUGCCAGCAGCCGCAGUAA
rnacentral:rRNA from 1 species